rnacentral:rRNA from 1 species
AUGGAAAGGGUGCCUUUCACAAAAAGAGCUCUGAAAAAUUUGUGUGGUAAAAUCAGUAGAGAGCAGUCAGAGGAUGAUGUGAGGAAGACCAUGGAGGUGUUCGCAGAUCUGGGCUCAAGAAAUCCUCACUUCACCUAUCGUGUACAGGCAGACCAGGAUGGUUGGAUAACAACUCUUAUGUGGGCAAAUGGGAGCAGCAGGUUGCAGCACACAUUCUUUGGAGAUGUUGUCACCUUCGAUACGACAUACGGAACAGACCUGUACAACAUGCCAUUUGGUCUGUUUGUGGGUGUGAAUAAUCAUUUUUAG